AUUGAACGCUGGCGGCAUGCCUUACACAUGCAAGUCGAACGGCAGCACGGGUGCUUGCACCUGGUGGCGAGUGGCGAACGGGUGAGUAAUACAUCGGAACAUGUCCUGUAGUGGGGGAUAGCCCGGCGAAAGCCGGAUUAAUACCGCAUACGAUCUACGGAUGAAAGCGGGGGCCCUUCGGGCCUCGCGCUAUAGGGUUGGCCGAUGGCUGAUUAGCUAGUUGGUGGGGUAAAGGCCUACCAAGGCGACGAUCAGUAGCUGGUCUGAGAGGACGACCAGCCACACGGGGACUGAGACAGGGCCCAGACGCCGACGGGGGGCAGCAGUGGGGAAUUUUGGACAAUGGGCGAAAGCCUGAUCCAGCAAUGCCGCGUGUGUGAAGAAGGCCUUCGGGUUGUAAAGCACUUUUGUCCGGAAAGAAAUCCUUGGCCCUAAUACGGUCGGGGGAUGACGGUACCGGAAGAAUAAGCACCGGCUAACUACGUG
rnacentral:rRNA from 1 species